rnacentral:rRNA from 1 species
UACGUAGGGUGCAAGCGUUGUCCGGAAUUAUUGGGCGUAAAGAGCUCGUAGGCGGUCUGUUGCGUCGGCUGUGAAAACCCGGGGCUCAACCCCGGGCCUGCAUUCGAUACGGGCAGGCUAGAGUUCGGCAGGGGAGACUGGAAUUCCUGGUGUAGCGGUGAAAUGCGCAGAUAUCAGGAGGAACACCGAUGGCGAAGGCAGGUCUCUGGGCCAUAACUGACUCUGAGAAGCGAAAGCAUGGGGAGCGAACAGG